UAAACACAGCUUAGAAAAUAAUCGUAAAUGCCGCUUUAUUAUCGUAUAUGUAAUUGAAGUUAGAAGUGUGCACAUACCUUACUAUUAUAUAUAGAAUGAGCAAAUACUGUUUAUCAAUAUCAUUCAGUAAUAUAUUCUGGACGUUUUGCUUACAACGAAAUGACGAAUGCGAAUAGUUUGUUGAAAUAAACAAAGUCUUGUUAUAAUAUGUCAUUAUCAACUGUUAUCAAGGCGUCACGGUGGUCACCCGUGACCACCAAUAAGAUAAAUGGUCCAUUGGGGAAAAAUGUUAUCUUACAUCAUCAAUUUAUUAUUAUUUUGCCAUUAUAACUUUGAAUAAUAAAAAUACUUCCGUGGCGUCCUGAGCAAAACAUGUGAUAUCGGCGUGGCAGUCAAAGUGUUAAACUUCGGAUUACUUAAUUUAUUAUUUGCUUAGAUAAAGUGUCGAACGAUAAUGUAGUCUGUCUCGAAAUUUUCCAUUUCUUCAAAUGAAAUAUAACUAGGAUUGCUUCGUCGCAUCAUCCUCUUUUCUAUCAAGAAUUAUCUCGUAUCAACGUCAAGGUAGAUAAAUUUUCUAAUUUGCAUUUUUUCCAUCCAUAUGUCUCCCUCAAAUAGAAUCUAAUUUUAACUAUUUAUAUGCAUCCUUCUAUAUGCUAAAAGGUUAUCUAGCCAUAAAUAAGUAAGUGGACAAGUAAAUACAAAACCGACGACGUCCCCUUCCUAUUUAGAAAAAUAUUUGUAGAACAGAGGUUCUACACUUCGUAUCUACGAUUUUAGUCCCGGUCAGUGCACACACGAUCUUUAACACGACUACCGACACGAAGAGGGAAGGCGGUUCUGGGCAGAGCGUAUAGGAAACGAGACAUUUUGCGGAGAAUUCUAACCCCAGCGACUUUCCACGGAAUUACUUGGCGGCCGUGCACGUAAUUGUUAACGGUGCUGGCAGUUUUCACAGAAGGGAAAUAGGAUUGAGUUUACCUUUGACGUACAAACAGAGCUUUCAACGGAUUUUAAUCACAUACGCCGUGUCGGCUUCCAUGGAAGCGGAUGCUUACACGUCGGCCGUUUUUACGCGUGUCCAAUUUCUACGGGGUUCUGCCUGUCGAAUCCGAUACCGGGGAACCUUGUCGGACGCGAUAGCCACAUCGAGGGAAAUACGUAAACGGAAAAAUAUAUUAGAAUCGCUGGAACGAAUAAUUUCUCACGUUUCAACGGUCGUAUUGGUUUUAUAUACAAUUUACUGAAACGUAUCAACGAGAUGGAAUUACCGAGGUAAGCGAGCCAAGCGAACAUAUCUGAUUUUUUCGAUCAUGACAACGAUGGCGAUUUUUCAAAACGUCUGAACGUUAUUCUAAGAAGAAUCGCAAUAAUAUACCAAGGACAAUUCUAAGAGAAAAGGCAAUUCUGCACGUCGUUUUCAACCGUACGAUGGUUGCAUGCAAAACAGAUUUAAAACUGGAUACCAGUUCAUUUCUGCUGAAACACCGGAAUCAGAGAGUUUCAUUCCCUUUGUUUCUCGUUGGCCAUAUUUGUCCUUUUCUCGUUUCCUUCUGUAUCUUCUUCGCCUUUUCUUUUGUUUUUUUACCUUUUUCCCUUAACUGCUUUCCGUUCUUUUAUCUUUUUCUUUUCCUUCUCUUCUUUCUCAUUUUCAUCCUUCCGAGUUAUUCUAUAAAUCGAACAUCGUGAAACGAUCUCAGCUAUUUUUUUACAAAUAGACAAAAAAAAUUUUCACGUUACACGUUGAUCCUAGGGGUUAACUGAAGUGUUCUAUUCAAUCAUAAAAGUAGCUAAAUUUCAUUUUUGGGAUUCACUUAUUGUUUCGACGGUACAGCGUGAUCUCAAACGAAGACAAUAUGCAUUGAUAAUAAUAACGUUGAUAUAAUAUAACAAUAUUUAGGUAUUUUUCAAUGUUUGGUUUCAUACACGAAAUAUUUCACUAUGUCUGAAUUAAAGAUUUCUAAUUUAUAUUUCUAUAUGUGUUCAUGUCAAAUGUUCGUGCUGACUAUUCACACGCAUUUACGUUACAUAUAGUCAAAACAUAUAUUAAUGUAUAACAACGUUUGCUAAUUUCAGUUGACUUACCGUGUAUUAACCCGGUACAUAUUAAUGUAGCUGCGUAUUAUUCCGUAGCCAUGCUUUGUUGAUAUAAUGUUUUCAAUCUGAACACGUAUUAACGUGUGUAAUUUCAAAUUACACGUGUGAACCAUUUCAAUGUGUCUGCAUGUUUGUCUCCAUAUUUCAAUACGUGUAUACAUUUUAAUUGAAAUGAAUAUAUUUCUCCGUUA